rnacentral:rRNA from 1 species
GCAACUCGCCUGCAUGAAGUCGGAAUUGCUAGUAAUCGCAGAUCAGCAUGCUGCGGUGAAUACGUUCCCGGGCCUUGUACACACCGCCCGUCACACCAUGGGAGUCGGUAACACCCGAAGUCGGUAGCCUAACCGUAAGGAGGGCGCCGCCGAAGGUGGGAUUGAUGACUGGGGUGAAGUCGUAACAAGGUAAC